GCCCUUGUGGAUCACGGUAGAUCAUCUUCAACAAAUAAAUAGAUGGCGACGGUAUUUGGCGAAGACAAUGUGGGUUCAAUUCCCACCAAGGGCA